UUGCAGGACAGUUACGGUACAGCUUGUUUGGUGCUGUGUUGUCGUUCCCCCUGCAAAAAGUAAACUGUUUCCAAGCUAUCCCUGUUUGUCCAAACCUCCUGACAGCCAGGGACGCAAGGUCUCAGACAC